GAACUGGCAGAUGACUAUGCCGACAUCCAUGCACCCACAUCCAGGCGUGGACUUGUGUCAGCUGCUACUUCGACCUGGAGAGAAGCUACAGUUCAAUCACCACCUAUAAGAUCUGCAGUGAGAACUUCACCGCCGACUGCCAGCGUAGCCAGGGCUAUGUCAAGUGAGUCAGAUGCCCGCCGUUGUUUUCGAUGCAACCAGAUUGGUCAUCUGAGCAGGACUUGCCCCACUAGGAAUAUGCCCUCACCAGUCCGUGGAGGGGCACCAUCAGUAUUGCUUGUGGGUGGGUCUGUGGGGAAACGAGAGGAUAACCUGCAGAGUGUAAUUGUGGGUGACAGAGUGACCAUGGGACUGAGAGAUUCUGGAGCUUCCUUCAUCCUGGUGCGACCUGAAGUGGUGAAUACGGAGGACAUAAUCCCUGGAAGAACCAUGUCCAUCAAAGGAAUUGGGGGUGUACGCCCCGCUGUGCCCUUGGCACGUGUGUACCUUGAUUGGGGUGCGGGCAAAGGUUUGCGGGAAGUGGGGAUUUCAGAGGAUAUCCCUGUUAAUGUUCUGUUGGGGAAUGAUUUGGGCAGGAUGCUCUGUCACUAUGCUCCAGCGGACACUGUUUGUGAGCCAGAAGGGCUGACUGCUCCACCUAAGGUAUUGUGUGAAACUUUGGGAGACAUUGUGGAGUGUGAUUGCUGGGAGGGAGAGCAGGGUGUGGAUAAAUAUCUACCUGUAACUGAACCAGUGAUGUCUACCAAAUGUGAGAUAGGGGUGAGUAGUGAUGUGCCUGUAUUAAAAUACUGUGAGGCUGGGAUGUCAGAGAGUAAGGGGGAGGAGGAAGGUGAGAGCCAUGUGUGUAGGUAGUGGUUAUUGUGCGGUGCGAACCAAUGCAAUCAUAAUUACAUUUUCCCGUUCUCCCCCCAAUUAAAACCAAGAGACAUAAGUGUGGUAUAAAACAGGCCACAGCUUUAUUUAUCAUGACAAGCAUAAAUAAAUCAACCAAUAAUUUACUCGAAAACUUGUCCUUGCCAACCGAACCAUAAUAACUCUAGAGUACCCCCUUCCAGGGUACCUGCCCUCCCCCCUCGUCCAAGAUAACUGGCCUUUUACAUUGGCCUUCCAAUUCCCCUGGCCGCCUUUUACUGGCACGGGGGGCACGCCCAAUUACCAAAACUCUCCGAGGUUAGGGGAGGGACCAGACCCAGCAUUCCUUCUUCCAGUGUACUCGUUUUCCAACUGGUUUGGCAAGGACCAUACCCGCCAGCUGUGACAAGAAAUAAAGUUAAAGAUAUACAAUACGCAACAAUCAAGGGUGGGCGGGAGGGAAGAUGUUACUUAUUCUAAGAUGGCUGAGGUAAGGGACAAAAUGACUGCCCUUUUAUAUGACCCCACCCCACCCCUAUCCUAAGUGACACCCCCCACAUGUGACACCUACACCCACCACACCCACACAUGCCUCCUAUCCGGCUAGCUUUUCAGCCCGCCUCCUCUGGGCCUGGGAUGUGUACCACUAGUCGCAGUGGUAACAAGUCAACAGUGGGUCAGGGCUGCAGCAGGACAGUCUGAGGUGCUAUGUGAGAUUGUGAGAGGAGGGCCUGCCUUGGAGAAGAAAUUAUGUGAGUGUGUGCAAAAUUCUGUAUCUGAUCAAGGGGGGUCAAAUGUGUCCUGUGAAAAUGUAUGGGAAAAGCCUUCCAGCGAGAGGGGGCUGAAUGAAUAUAUGUGCCAAUAUGUGCCUGAAGCAGAUGUAUGUGAUGUGGUGGGUGAAAAUGUGAAGGGACAGCGAGGCUAUGAGGGAGGGCAGAGGGUGUGUGAGCGUUACUCUGCGGCAGGCUUAGCCAGUUUCCAAAGUUCUGUAUGUCUGAUGACCUGGAGUGAAAGUGAGGGGCACGGACAGACUCAGCCUGUGGGUCCAGGAAGGAUGGCUGCAGGGAAACAUACUGUUGGAGGAACCAGGAACCUUGUCAGUUUAUCACAACUCACGCAUACACCUAAGCAACUUUAUGAUUGUGAACCAAAGGUUCAGAGUCUGAUAGUGCAACAAGCCCAGCAGACAGACCGCAAAAUGAAAGAGAUGAUGGGUGUUGAUACAGCACAUCUAUCCUGGGAGUGUUCUCUGUCUGCUUUUUUGUGUGCUUACCGGGGAGUGCUACAGAAAUCCAUUGGUUUCUUCCCCUUACAGCUACUACAUGAGCGCAGUUUAAGGGAUGUUACCAGAGAUCGAUGGGAAAUUGAAACAGGCAAAUCAGGCAUGUUUGUUGAGGGGGUAGCUGUGGUAUGGACUGAUCACAACCUGCUGCAGGUGACAGGUAACCAUGGUAAACUGCUCCAUUGGAGCCCUAUCCUCCAACAGUAUAAUUUCACUGUCCAAAACAAAAAGGGCAGCUUGCAUGGGAAUGCAGAUGGCCUGUCUCAGCAACUAGAGGGUUAAUGGUAGACAGAUAAAUCAGCCUGUGGCUACAUUUUUCUGUCCACCAUCUUAAGGGGGAGGUGUCAUGCCAAAAGCAUGAGUUGGUGUUUGAUGUGUGUUUAUAUAUGUUAAGAGUUGUUUUUUUGUAAACCUUGGGAUGACGUUUAUUGUGGUCUUUGAUCUUGCACCAGGCCUAGACCAUAAAACAUCUAGAUAGCCAUCACCAGAGCUGGACACAAGGAAUUUCAUAGAGUGGGCAAUUGUCAGGGUACCUGUUGGUGCUGAAUCCAGGGAAGACAUCCUCUCUGUUUAGGGGCUCCCUGCCCCUAGCAUUUCGGCAUAUUCCGGCCGUUUUCGCGCCGGCCGCGCUAGCUCCUCCCCCUUUUAUGACGCGACGGCUAGCGUCGACGUCAUGACGUCGGCAUUUACAUGAAGUGCCGGGAACCGCUAUUCCGGACCUUUUGGGGGCGUGGUCCCUAUUUAGGUAACAG